GGUAAGCAUGCCGUUUUAGUGUUCUGCGUCUGUGGUAUUUGUGACACUUUUCUCAGGUGUAUCAUUUCGUCUCCUUGUCAUAUCUCUCUUCACAUGUGUGUCUGUCUCAACUGUGGACCAUUCAACUCCGUGGGCGCGUAUCAGGGGAUGUCUUGCUUCUUGCGGGCUAGUAGCUCUGGCGCACAAUAGGAGAAGGCAGUUCUGACGCCGGCGCUCUAGCCUCGACGCAAGGCGGUCCGCGGAUGGCGGUGAAUUUUUUCCUAAUCUCGGAUGGCUUCUGAUGCGCUAAAGAAUGGAGUACUCCCAUUCAUUCGACGGAUCCAGAGGUCCCAUUGCCACUCACAAAAACUCGGUGGUCACGCUCAAGAAAGAAGCCCUUGGGUAAGCUGUCAGGGUAGCCGUUUCCGUGUUUUUCCUAAGCUUACUGCAAAGCUUCUGGAUCAUACAGGGAAAACCGUUCGUAUUAUGAGUCCUAGCGUCUUCACGCUGGAUUUUGAGACGGUGUAACUAACCCUCCGUAGGUGUGAGUUCCUUUUCAGUGACUCCUAACUCGUCAGGCGCCUCAUAACACGGCUCCGGUACUCAGAGGUGCAACGGGUAUGCAGACGGAAUUCAAAUGAACAUUUUCGCCUACCCCCUCAGCGUCUCUGCCAGGACGGGAAACCAGGCAAUGCCGCAAGAACAGUCGUUCAUAGUGCUGGGUUGCAACCGUCUGUGUCGUAUGACCUUGGAGUGACCCCAGAAAGGCAUGACGUGAAUACCGUGCUGUAGGGUAGGUGCCUCGUCCCGAUGCAUCCGAGGCUGUCACUCGCCUAACGCAAUCUUCGCACCUGGAAAGUACCAUCCGCUAUCUGAUUGGGGUGUGCUACCGCCUUCUUGCCAGCGACUUUUUGCCAUGAGUGUGAUCUCGUCAUUCUCCAGUAUCAGGAUCAAAGUUAAUUUUUUCACCCAUAUGACGUGACCCGUGAUCGCUGCGUAGCUUGCGCUGGCGUUCCCAUCCGACAGGUAUUCGCGCAGUGCGUAAUUGUACACAGUCGUAAACGUACUUCUUUAGUUCACAGUCACCGGGACUCACUUUAUGAGUCACCAAAGCGGCAAGGCUCGGUUGGUCGCUCGACAACUGUUUCAGCGAUCGUACCGCUUUCGCUUCCUUCACAUGGGGAGAGUGUUUUAUGGAGAUGCUCAUUAUUGCCGAUUCCAAGUGUCCGCUCCGAAAUUGGGAAGACGGGUGUCAGGGGUAUUUCCACACUUAGUUCGUACAAAUGUCAGCGGACGCUGUGCUGCGGAAAAUCAUGCAAUAUGCUAGCCUGCCUCUUCAUAAUAAAAUAUACUGUGGGAGGAUUUCCAUCCCUCUUUCUUCGUAGGGAAGUUAGUGUUCUGAGAGUUGCUCUAGCGUUUUUGUACGUCUUACAACCCGAGAGGUUGCGUUCGUGGUAUCACUGAGUUACGCAUUUGCACCAGAAUUCUUGAAUGAGACUCGGCACUAACACGGUAUCCUAUCACUAGUGAACCGAGUGGUAGCAACCCGUCAUCCUUAAUUGCAUCUGCC
rnacentral:lncRNA from 1 species